rnacentral:rRNA from 1 species
GCGUUAUCCGGAUUCACUGGGUUUAAAGGGUGCGUAGGUGGGUUGGUAAGUCAGUGGUGAAAUCUCCGUGCUUAACAUGGAAACUGCCAUUGAUACUACCGGUCUUGAAUUUUCUGGAGGUAAGCGGAAUAUGUCAUGUAGCGGUGAAAUGCUUAGAUAUGACAUAGAACACCAAUUGCGAAGGCAGCUUACUACACAGUUAUUGACGCUGAGGCACGAAAGCGUG